AAAAACUAAUCCAUGCAUUUGUUACUUCAAGGCUGGAUUACUGCAACUCUUUUUUAUCAGGUUGCCCCAAUAAGUCCAUUAAAACGCUCCAAUUAAUUCAGAACGCUGCAGCACGAGUACUGACAGGAACUAGAAAAAGAGAUCACAUCUCUCCUGUACUAGCUUCUCUGCACUGGCUCCCUGUAAAAUUUAGACCCCACUAGAACACUACGUUCUCUGAAUGCUGGGCUACUUGUGGUUCCUAUAGUCUCUAAAAGUAGAACAGGAGCCAGAGCCUUCAGUUACCAAGCUCCUCUCCUGUGGAACCAGCUUCCAGUUGUGGUUCGGGAGGCAGACACCCUCACCACAUUCAAGAGUAGGCUUAAGACAUUCCUCUUUGAUAAAGCUUAUAGUUAGGGCUGGAUCAGGUGAGUCCUGAACCAUCCCUUAGUUAUGCUGCUAUAGGCCUAGACUAUCGGGGGAUUUCCCAUGGUGCACUGAGCUCCUCCCUUCCUCUCUCUUUCUGCACUCAUUCAUGUCCCAUUAAUGCAUGUUACUAACUUCACUUCUUCCCCGGAGUUCUUGUGCUUUCUCGUCUCGCAGGUUCUCAUGGAUCCUGGUGGAGCCUCCUGCCAUGGUCCUGCUUGACUGCCAUUGCUAAUAUCACUGAUAUUAGUGUUAUUAUUAUUAUAAGUAUUAUUAUAGCUACGGUUACUGUUGCUGCUGUUGUCACAGCUCAUUGUCCCCCGUCGUUGCUGUUGUCAUGUUCAUCAUCAUCAGUCACUACUACUAGUGUAGUUGUUGUUGUUGCUGUGCACCUGUCUGUUUGCCUCUCUCUCUGUCUCUCUCUCUCUCUCUCUCUCUCUCUCUCUCUCUCUCUCUCUCUCUCUCUCUCUCUCUCACCCCAACUGGUCGAGACAGACGACCACCCACCUAGAGCCGGAGGAUCUGUCCUAGGUUUCUGCCUUUUAACAGGCAGUUUUUCCUUGCCCUUGUCGCCAAGUGCUUGCUCAUGGUGGUACUGUUGGGUCUCUGUAAUUAAUGUUUUAAAGAGUUCGGUCUAGACCUGCUCUAUUUGAAAAGUGUCCUGAGAUAACUUCUGUUAUGAAUUGGCGCUAUACAAAUAAAAUUGAAUUGAAUUGAA